GACGAACGCUGGCGGCGCGCUUAACACAUGCAAGUCGAACGAUGAAGCCGGAGCUUGCUCUGGUGGAUCAGUGGCGAACGGGUGAGUAACACGUGAGUAACCUGCCCUUGACUCUGGGAUAAGCGUUGGAAACGACGUCUAAUACCGGAUACGAGCUAGGACCGCAUGGUCACUAGCUGGAAAGAAUUUCGGUCAAGGAUGGACUCGCGGCCUAUCAGUUAGUUGGUGAGGUAACGGCUCACCAAGACGACGACGGGUAGCCGGCCUGAGAGGGUGACCGGCCACACUAGGACUGAGACACGGCCCAGACUCCUGCGGGAGGCAGCAGUGGGGAAUAUUGCACAAUGGGCGCAAGCCUGAUGCAGCAACGCCGCGUGAGGGACGACGGCCUUCGGGUUGUAAACCUCUUUUAGCAGGGAAGAAGCGCAAGUGACGGUACCUGCAGAAAAAGCACCGGCUAACUACGUGCCAGCCGCCGCGGUAAAAC
rnacentral:rRNA from 1 species